rnacentral:piRNA from 1 species
UGUCUACUAAGUCCUGCUGUCCCAUGUAGGC